UAUUUUGACUAUACAAAGGUAUUGAAAUAAGAUUUUAAUUGAAUGCUAAGAGAAUGGAAUUUCAGAAAAAAACUUUUUUUAAAUUAAAAAUUGAAAUUUUUUUAAUUUGUGCAGAAACAAUUAUUAACAUUAAGGACAAGAAGACCCUAUGAAUUUUUAAAAUUUUUAAUAAUAGUAAUUUAUUAUUAUUAAAAAUUUUAGCUGGGGCGGCUAAAAAAUAUAAUUAACUUUUUAAAAAUAAAACGAUCCACUAAUAAUGAUUACAUGUUAAAUACUCUAGGGAUAACAGCGUUAUAUUUUUUGAUAGACCAUAUUGACAAAAAAGUUUGCGACCUCGAUGUUGGAUUAGGAUACUUUUUUAAUGAAGAUAUUAAAAAAAGAAGUUUGUUCAACUUUUAAUUUCCU
rnacentral:rRNA from 1 species